GGCCUCCCUCUGUUGGGUGAUCGAUCUGGGGGCCCCACGGUCGAUUGCCCUGCAGAGGGAGGCC
rfam:Myotis davidii contig427, whole genome shotgun sequence.